CUUCUAAUCAACGAUCUUCCCCCAAGAGAAAGAAAAGAAUUUAUUCCUAACAUCGAACGGUUGAAAUCUUUCUCCACCCUAGACUCAAUCUCAGCCGUUAAACCCAGAUACAUGUACAUCUCUGCAGCAUGCGGCAUAUUCAUUGGAGUCUUGCUUGAGUUCUCCCUUCGUAUCCCAUUUUUUAUGUGAUUCUUACUAAACCCAUAUAACCAAUAUAGUUCUUGAUCGAUCUAUUAAUUUUACACAUUUUGAUCUGGGCUUGUGAUUCUACUAAUUUGAUUCAGAAUGUUUGGGAGGGCUCCGAAAAAAAGUGAUAAUACCAAGUACUAUGAAAUUCUUGGGGUGCCCAACACUGCGUCACAGGAUGAUUUAAAGAAGGCUUACAAGAAAGCUGCUAUCAAGAAUCAUCCUGAUAAGGGGGGUGACCCUGAAAAGGUUCCAUUUUGAAGUUUUUA
rnacentral:lncRNA from 1 species